CUCCUCUCCUCCCUCACCUUGGCAUCCACAGAUCUGUCCCUCGCAGUACCGCUCUGUAAUUCCUUGGCUUUGAUAGCCACACUGGUGACUGGGAAGAUUCUGGGAGAGGACAUUGGCGGCAAAAGGGCUGUGGCAGG